rnacentral:rRNA from 1 species
CGCGUAGGCGGCCGUUCAAGUCGGGGGUGAAAGCCUGUGGCUCAACCACAGAAUUGCCUUCGAUACUGUACGGCUCGAGACCGGAAGAGGUAAGUGGAACUGCGAGUGUAGAGGUGAAAUUCGUAGAUAUUCGCAAGAACACCAGUGGCGAAGGCGGCUUACUGGUCCGGUUCUGACGCUGAGGCGCGAAAGCGUGGGGAGCAAACA